UAUUAGAUUCUGUGGCCGAUAUCUUCUUAUAGUUGUCUUACAUGCUUGAUAGUAUUCAGUACCUCCCGAGUGAUGGCCCGACUGCAGCGGUUCCCCAUCGUAUACUCUUCGGUGCUGACGUACCAAUCAAGUAUGUAAGAUAGUUGUUGUUGGUAUAAAUAUUUUGGUGUAACUCAGUUAUGGGAAUUUCAGGUGGAAUGAGACCCGGACGCAGAUCUCGUGCUAGUAGUGACCCUUUACCCACUGGUGAGGGUGAUGAUGAGCAGGUCCCUCGUGGGUUGCUACGGACCAUGGAGCAGUUGUUUGAGUGUUUUACAGCGGCACUCCCAAAUCCUAGGACUGACUAUACUGUGGAGCGUGCCAGACGCCAUGGGGCGUAUACUUUCUCUAGUGCUCCUACGGAGUCUGUAGCAGGAGACUGGAUUACCCGUAUGGAGAGAGUAUUUGAGUCCUUGGGUUGUCCAGCUGCUAGGAGGGUUCCUUUGGCUAUUGACCUCCUAGACGGGGAUGCAUGGCUUUGGUGGCAGGGUACCAGGAAUAUGGGUUUUGACCCAACUACCAUGACUUGGGAAGAGUUCAAAACGGAGUUCUCAAAUUGGUACUAUAAUCAGGCAUCCCAGCACCGUCUCCGAUUUGAUUUCAUGCAGUUGAAGCAGACUGAAGAGAUGACUGUGUUGCAGUAUGAGGAGCGUUUCAUUGCUUUGUCUCGGUUUGCCCCUGGGUUGGUGGCGACAGAAAAGUUGAAGGUUGAUCAGUUUAUCAAUGGCCUCCUACCUAUAUAUCGAGAUUGGUUGGCGCCUCAUGAUUAUCCGACUUUUAAGUUAGCUGUGGAGGCUUCUAUGAGGUGUGAGGCUAGAUAUCUGGACGGUUCCCGACCUUUGGAGAUUGGCGGUCCUAGUCAGGGGCCAUCUAAGAGAAUUGCCUCUAGUUCGGGUUCUGCAUCGUCAUCAGGCAGUAGGCCGAGCAGUUCAGAUUCUAGCUCUCGUCAGCGUUUCAGGGGACGCUUCAGGAGGCCUGGACAGACAGGUAGGAGACAGUUCAGGGGUGGCACUGCUAGUUCCAGUGGAGGCUUUGGUAGACAGGCGAUUCCGAGAGACUAUCCCCAGUGUGCUACUUGUGGUAGGCACCAUGUGGGCCCGUGUCAGGCAGGUGUGGGGACUUGUUACCAGUGUGGCCAGUGGGGUCACUACAGGAGAGAAUGCCCUCAGUUGACCCAGGGAGUCUUCACUACUACUAGUCAGAGUAUGGGUCAGACCUCUGUGGGUGCUACUAGUUCGGGUUCUCAUGGCAGUUUGUCAGGCAGGAGCAGCACACAGCCGGGUCGUGGACAGAGAGGGCGUCCAGUGACCCAGGCCCGUCUUCAUGCUAUGACCCAGCAGGAGGGUCGCACUGCACCGAACGUCAUUAUGGGACGUACUGAGCCCUCGAGCGAGGAGGACACAGACAGGCAGCAGGGUUAGCUGCGGGAUUUACUUGAAGCAAAUCCUGAGGUUUUAAGAGAAGGUCAGAAACGGAUGAUGGCAUUGUUCCAUGAGCAAGUGUUUUUCAGUCUGAUUGAAUCACUUCUGAAGUUUGAGGAACAAUUGCCCAAGAUCUGGUGGAGACCAAAACCUGUUCUUCUUGGACUUUGUGAGCCCAACAAAGUUUGACAACAGCUACUUCAAAACUUAUUGGCUAACAAGGGCCUGCUUAACUCUGACCAAGUUCUUGUUACAAAGAGUGAAGUAGCCAAGCAAUUGGUUCAGCAAUAUGCAGUGAACAACGAGCUUUUCCUCGAGCAAUUUGCCAAGUCCAUGAUUAAGAUGGGGAAUCCUUCACCAAUUACAGGUUCAAGGGGAGAGAUCAGAAAGAAUUGCAGGAAGGUCAACUACUCUUGAUUAGACUAUGAUUUCUAGGUCACUAGAAGUUGACAUGUAGUACAUGAUGAUCAUCAUGGGGUGUUCUAUUACCUUCUCUAUGUUUUUGAAGUUCUUGUUUCCAGUAUUUAGCUUUUAUAUCAGUCAGAGAUGUACUCUUCUUUGGUUAUUCUCAUUAAUAAAAGUAUCGUCAAUUUUCGAAAA